rnacentral:lncRNA from 1 species
UGAACAGCUUGCAGUGUGACAAGAUCUUGUUGAUGGUGAAAUAUAAGAAGUGAAUGCAAAAUUCCAAAUGUGAUUGCAUUACAGUCCUGUGGUGAGGGACUAUUAAAUCUCUGCUCUGUGGUGUGAUAAAACUACUACUUCCUGCCUGCGCCACUCAGACACUAUUUUUGGGGACUGAUCCAUGAGUUGUGAUACUGGCUCCUGCACAGACCAUGAACAAGAUGGAGCACAGCAAUGUAAGCUUCAUUAUUCAGCCUCCUGACGGUGCUUCAGUUCUGCUCUAGAUCAGUCACCCUUCAGAGUAAGAGGGCAUAGCCUAACCUACUUAUCUGCAUAUUACCCUGUAGGCUCCUGCGCAUUAACCUCCCACCAAAUCCAGCAAGAGGAGGGUUCACAGCCUCUCUCAGGGCUGCAUCUGACAAGAAGAGUGAAAAAAAUACUUGAUGAGAAAGGCAGGCGUUCUCUCAGGAACAAUCCCUGCUUAGAUGAGUUCCUGGAUGCUUCCACCCAUAUGAGAGAGGAGAAAGCUACAG